rnacentral:rRNA from 1 species
CCUACGGGUGGCAGCAGUGGGGAAUACUGCACAAUGGGCGCAAGCCUGAUGCAGCCAUGCCGCGUGUGUGAAGAAGGCCUUCGGGUUGUAAAGCACUUUCAGCGGGGAGGAAGGCGUUAAGGUUAAUAACCUUGGCGAUUGACGUUACCCGCAGAAGAAGCACCGGCUAACUCCGUGCCAGCAGCCGCGGUAAUACGGAGGGUGCAAGCGUUAAUCGGAAUUACUGGGCGUAAAGCGCACGCAGGCGGUCUGUCAAGUCGGAUGUGAAAUCCCCGGGCUCAACCUGGGAACUGCAUUCGAAACUGGCAGGCUAGAGUCUUGUAGAGGGGGGUAGAAUUCCAGGUGUAGCGGUGAAAUGCGUAGAGAUCUGGAGGAAUACCGGUGGCGAAGGCGGCCCCCUGGACAAAGACUGACGCUCAGGUGCGAAAGCGUGGGGAGCAAACAGGAUUAGAUACCCCGGUAGUC